GGUCCAUGUCAGAACAAUUGCACAGUGCACCAUGAUGCUUGCCACUGUAUCCACAAGGAAAUGGGACAAGUACCCACGGACAAGAGAUGGUGAGGACACCUGAGAAGACCCUAUGUGACCUGUCCCCUCCCACCCCCAUCAAACAGCCUGCUCCUGCUCCAGUUUCACAGUUCGAAUCCAAAUUUAACAGUUCAGAGAAGAGUUGAGUUUCUGCAGCUGCUGGAGCACACUGGAAUAUCACAUUAAAACAGCUUCCCAGGAGUGAGCAG